rnacentral:tRNA from 1 species
GCGCCCGUAGCUCAAUUGGAAAGAGCAACGGACUUCUAAUCCGUAGGUUGCAGGUUCGAUUCCUGCCGGGCGUAC